GACGGGGCGCCGGGCUAUGGGGCCGGGCGGGCUUGCGGGCCGCCUCCCCGAGGGCUGAGGGGAGCGGAGCGGAGAGUUCGGUGGGGCUGUCCGUGGAGACUCGGCGCGCCUCUUCGCCGGGCUGGAAGGUAUCUGAUGGAAAUACAAUACAGAAGAGGAAAAAUGGUCUAGAAGGUUGCUGGAGUGUGUGGCACAACUGGUGAGUGAGCCAACUAGAGAAGGAGCCUGGUUGAUAGAGCCCCCCGGCAGGAGGCCUGAAGGGCAAAGGAGUCCAGGAAGGCUGGACAUUCUGCAAGAAGGAAAUCUUCAAGGCACAGGAGCAGCCCAUCCCCAUGUGCUGAGAGAUGGGCUGGCAGGGAUGAAGACUGGCCUGGCUGAACAGAGAGCUUUGGCUGGAACUCAGGACAAAAAGGAGUUUAUGACUUUUGGAAGGAGGUGCAGACUGAUCAGGAGGACUAUAAGGAUGCCAUGAAGUUAUGCAGCAAGAGAAUUAAAAGUGCUGAAGGCCAACUAAAACUUAA